rnacentral:rRNA from 1 species
GACGAACGCUGGCGGCGUGCCUAACACAUGCAAGUCGAACGGAAAGGCCCUGCUUUUGUGGGGUGCUCGAGUGGCGAACGGGUGAGUAACACGUGAGUAACCUGCCCUUGACUUUGGGAUAACUUCAGGAAACUGGGGCUAAUACCGGAUAGGAGCUCCUGCUGCAUGGUGGGGGUUGGAAAGUUUCGGCGGUCGGGGAUGGACUCGCGGGUUAUCAGCUUGUUGGUGGGGUAGUGGCUUACCAAGGCUUUGACGGAUAGCCGGCCUGGGAGGGUGACCGGGCACAAUAGGACUGAGAUACGGAGCAGUGUCCUACGGGAGGCAGCAGUGGGGAAUAUUGCACAGUGGGCGGGAGCCUGAUGCGGCAACGCCGCGUUCGGGAUGACGGCCUUCGGGUUGUAAACCGCUUUCGCCUGUGACGAAGCGUGAGUGACGGUAAUGGGUAAAGAAGCACCGGCUAACUACGUG